CAUUUCAAAUGAAGUGAUUAGAUGCAGAAGGGCCACACCCUGCCCUUCUCAAUAAAAAGCAGCACUGCCUGAGCUCUCAGCCCUACACACUGGGACGAGAGAGUGUGACUGGAUUUAAUCAUGAGAAGAGAUCCAUUUGGAAUCGUGUUCCAGUCCCCCAAAUGCCUCAGCUUCUUGCUUGUGCUUGGCUGGGCAACAUCCACCAUCGCUGAGUCUGAGAAGACAUUUCUGUGCAUCAGCGGCUCGGAAAACGGUA